AGAUUGAACGCUGGCGGCAGGCCUAACACAUGCAAGUCGAGCGGUAGAGAGGUGCUUGCAUCUCUUGAGAGCGGCGGACGGGUGAGUAAUGCCUAGGAAUCUGCCUAGUGGUGGGGGAUAACGUUCGGAAACGGACGCUAAUACCGCAUACGUCCUACGGGAGAAAGGCGGGGGACCUUCGGGCCUCGCGCCAUUAGAUGAGCCUAGGUCGGAUUAGCUAGUUGGUGAGGUAAUGGCUCACCAAGGCGACGAUCCGUAACUGGUCUGAGAGGAUGAUCAGUCACACUGGAACUGAGACGACGGUCCAGACCUCCGUACGGGAGGCAGGCGAAGGUGGGAAUAGUGGAACAAGUGGGACGAAAGCCUGACUCCAGCCAUCGCCGCGUGU
rnacentral:rRNA from 1 species